CCAACAUUCGGACCGUCGGUCUACCGAGCAAUGCCACGCGCUCGGUGGAAGAUCUUCCCUUCGUCGU
rnacentral:pre_miRNA from 1 species